ACGGGUGAGUAAUAUAUCGGAACGUGCCCAAUCGUGGGGGAUAACGUAGAGAAAUUUACGCUAAUACCGCAUACGAUCUAAGGAUGAAAGCGGGGGAUCGCAAGACCUCGCGCGAUUGGAGCGGCUGAUAUCAGAUUAGGUUGUUGGUGAGGUAAAAGCUCACCAAGCCGACGAUCUGUAGCUGGUUUGAGAGAACGACCAGCCACACUGGGACUGAGACACGGCCCAGACUCCUACGGGAGGCAGCAGUGGGGAAUUUUGGACAAUGGGCGAAAGCCUGAUCCAGCAAUGCCGCGUGCAGGAAGAAGGCCUUCGGGUUGUAAACUGCUUUUGUACGGAACGAAACGGUCUGCCCUAAUACGGCGGGCUAAUGACGGUACCGUAAGAAUAAGCACCGGCUAACUACGUGCCAGCAGCCGCGGUAAUACGUAGGGUGCGAGCGUUAAUCGGAAUUACUGGGCGUAAAGCGUGCGCAGGCGGUUAUGUAAGACAGUUGUGAAAUCCCCGGGCUCAACCUGGGAAUUGCAUCUGUGACUGCAUAGCUAGAGUACGGUAGAGGGGGAUGGAAUUCCGCGUGUAGCAGUGAAAUGCGU
rnacentral:rRNA from 1 species